rnacentral:rRNA from 1 species
GACGAACGCUGGCGGCGUGCUUAACACAUGCAAGUCGAACGGAAAGGCCCUGCUUUUGUGGGGUGCUCGAGUGGCGAACGGGUGAGUAACACGUGAGUAACCUGCCCUUGACUUUGGGAUAACUUCAGGAAACUGGGGCUAAUACCGGAUAGGAGCUCCUGCUGCAUGGUGGGGGAUGGAAAGUUUCGGCGGUUGGGGAUGGACUCGCGGCUUAUCAGCUUGUUUGUGGGGUAGUGGCUGACCAAGGUUUUGACGGGUAGCCGGCCUGAGAGGGUGACCGGCCACAUUGGGACUGAGAUACGGACCAGACUCCUACGGGAGGCAGCGGUGGGGAAUAUUGCAGAAUGGGCGGAAGCCUGAUGCAGCAACGCCGCGUGCGGGAUGACGGCCUUCGGGUUGUAAACCGCUUUCGCCUGUGACGAAGCGUGAGUGACGGUAAUGGGUAAAGAAGCACCGGCUAACUACGUG